rnacentral:lncRNA from 10 species
GAAAUAAUGAACUCCUCCAAGGCAAGAAAUCUGUUUUGAAGCUUCUCUGCGUAAGUAUUAACACUUAAUCUAUUAUUCGAUGCAUUUCAUUUCCCUUUGUAGGUAUCGGUUUUCUGAGCCUGCAGCCUUAGGCUAGUACCUUUUUUUUUUUUUUUAAGUUAGUUUCUGUUUUUUAUUUGAGCUCUGUUAGAAUCUUUAGAUCUAUCCAGUGGCUAUAGUUUACUCUGUGCUGCGCCUUUCUGCUUUCUCUCUGCAAAAAUUAUGGCUUUUUAGCUAUAUUUCCCCAAACAGAGGUGAGGUACUGCUCUUAUACAAAUACUUGAAGUUAUAAAUCCCACCUGCAUUAAAAGGAAAGUGAAGAUUUAUGACAAUGCCUUCCCAUUCUUCUCUUUCAACCCCAAAACCUCCACCAUUUUUGAAACAAGGCAAGUUCUUUAGGGCUGGAGGUCUUCAAUGGUAUACACCAUGAGGUAAAGAUCAGCUUUAAAAUAAAUACGUACCUCCAAGGGAAGAAAAUUGAACAGGCCAUUCAUUACUUUUCCUUCAGAAAGCUAAGGUACAACAGGAAUAAACUUAACUUGUGAAGGUUUUAUGAAAGGAUUGCCACCUCCUGCCUUGAUGAAAAGAUUAACCUGAUUUGGUGAAAUAUGCUGCUAUUUGCAGGCAGGUGCUGGCCUGAUUCACCAACUCUGUGUUAAUUUGAGCCUGCAGAGGUACCUUUGAUCAGCUCUCAGAGCCUCAGCAGUGGCUCAGGAAACAUCAAAACGCUGUAGAGCAGGCUCUAAUCUCAGCCUUCCUGUUUCUAUGCUUGCUCACUAGGUUCACACACAGCAGCCUGGUUUCCUGGAAGGGCAUUUUCCACAUUGUGCGUUAUGGAUGAUCAUCCCAGGCAUCAGGUGUGAAGCCCUGCAUCCACAUCCAGGGGCUAUCAAAUCUCUCUGCAAAAGGAGAAGCUGGACUCAGUUCUGUGAAGGAAGCUGCAGAAGAAAAAGGUGAAAGAGGUGAGGAAGCUGCAGAAGAAAACCUGGAAGUUAGCAGAGCUUGAUCCAGAGGUUUAAGGAAAGAAGCCAUCUCCAUAACAUAAAAGUGCAAGGUGAAGCAGCAAGUGCUGAUGGGGAAGCUGCAGCAAGUCAUCCAGAAGAUCUUGCUAAGGGUAUGCACAGAUGUGGAAACAGGAACUGAUGUGUCCAUUACACCACUAGGACAGAGGCCAGAACAAUGAAGAAACCAAAUACUUGGAAGAGGGUAGAGAUAAUGAAUGGAGUCCAAGAGCCCUGAUUGUGCCAUAAAUGUCCAGAUAAUUCCAUACCUGAGGAUUAUGUGGUUUGUAAACUUGGCACUUAGAAGAACCAAUAAAAUCAUGUUAUAGUUUC